UGGGGAAUAUUGCGCGAUGGGGGAAACCCUGACGCAGCAACGCCGCGUGAAGGAUGAAGGUUUUCGGAUUGUAAACUUCUUUGAUGAGGGACGAACACAAUGACGGUACCUCAAAAACAAGCCACGGCUAACUACGUGCCAGCAGCCGCGGUAAUACGUAGGUGGCGAGCGUUGUCCGGAAUUACUGGGUGUAAAGGGCGUGUAGGCGGGGAGACAAGUCAGAUGUGAAAUACCGAAGCUUAACUUCGGGGCUGCAUCUGAAACUGUUUUUCUUGAGUGUCGGAGAGGAAAGCGGAAUUCCCAGUGUAGCGGUGAAAUGCGUAGAUAUUGGGAGGAACACCAGUGGCGAAGGCGGCUUACUGGGCCGUAACUGACGUUGAUGCGCGAAAGCGUGGGGAGCGAACAGG
rnacentral:rRNA from 2 species